UACGAAGGGUGCAAACGUUGCUCGGAAUUAUUGGGCGUAAAGCGCGCGUAGGUGGUUCGUUAAGUUGGAUGUGAAAUCCCCGGGCUCAACCUGGGAACUGCAUUCAAAACUGUCGAGCUAGAGUAUGGUAGAGGGUGGUGGAAUUUCCUGUGUAGCGGUGAAAUGCGUAGAUAUAGGAAGGAACACCAGUGGCGAAGGCGACCACCUGGACUGAUACUGACACUGAGGUGCGAAAGCGUGGGGAGCAAACAGG
rnacentral:rRNA from 1 species